GAGCUUUUCCAUCACAUCUCACAGUCUCCAUCAGUGGACUGAGUUUGCUCUUUGGUUAUGGAGUGAAGCUCCAGGAAAAGCUAGUAAGUUGAGUUAAGAUUAUUGUGCCAAGCAAAUCCUUACAGAUUUAUCCUGUAAAGUAAUUUGAAAAUUGAGCCACAAGACCAUCAAUAGCAAAGUUUCUGUCUCCUGAACUUUCCUGACUCACCCAUUCAGACUUCACUUCGUGUAAUUCUUUUUAUUUAUAUCUAUUUAUGUUGUUUUAUCUGUCCUUAAGAUGUCUGCUGCCUCAUUUGUUUUCCGUCACUAUGGAGCACAUGCAGCAAUUAUUACACUGAGUGAUGACACUGCCAAUAAAACACAACGGGGAGCUGCGCCAAAUCUGUGGCAUCAAUAUUGUUCGCUGUGUCGUCAGUUUAUCAAAAUUUGAGGAUAAAAUGUAGUGCAACGAGUUUAUUGAAAUUCUGCUCAUCUGCAAACAUGAUGUGUGUUAUUGAAUUCAGACAGGCAAGCAGGAGGUCUGCUGGAGGAAUAUUUCAAGGAUUGAGUCAACCAAUCGGAAAACCAAUAGAACAUCAUUAUGGGAGUAGCAGUAUGAAAUACAUGCAUUCUGUUAGGAAAAUAAAAUUGUCUUAUUGCACUACUCCUUGUUUUUUCUGCUAUUCCGCUAUGUGCUGUAUCAUGUUGUUUGUUUCCAUUACUAUUAUACACACAUAUAUACUACAUUAUUGUAUAGUGUGUGUAUAUUAUGUGUUCUGUAUAUCUAUUAUAUACAAUAACAUACUUUAUACAUACUUUAUGUAUUUGUACGACUGGUCUUUUCUUCAAUUUAUAACAGACACUUUUAUGGAAAACAAAGCUGCUGUUUGAAACGUAACGUGACUUUAAAUUUGAACCUUCUGAUGAUUUAGAAAGCUAACAGCAAGUGGAUGACAGUGAACUCUUGCUCUCCCUCUGCGAUGUGCACCCUAAAAGAGCAUUUUAACAACUAUAAGGUGAUGCUGAGUAUAUUUCAGGAGAGCUCCUAUCUCAUUAUGAUUUGAUGCACCAGUGAAAGAAACUGUUUAAACUGCCUGAAUUGAUUAAUAAGAUAUUUACUCAAAAUUCCCCAGAUGACCGCUGCAGUCCUGGUCAUAUGAAGUGAACCUGAGAGGACAGAGACUCAGCGAUGCCCCAUAAGGAUUACUCUCCCAGCUCCCAGGUUUCCGUUACUCCCCUGUCAGUGAAUGCAACAUUUUCCUGUCCCGAUGGAGGUCUGACGAGACGAACAUGCAAUAAUCCGCUCCAGUCGUCCAGAAUCAGUGGGCCUUCGGAGUCCAGGCUCAGUCCUGGGACUCUGUGGCUUUCAUCUCAAUGUGAGUCAGGAGUUGAUUCAAACAUGGAGUGAUGGGAGAAUUAACCCCUGGGACCCAGCUUUCAAUGGGCUCAGCUAAGAGAUUAUAUGUGUUGAUGGCAGGCUUUUAUAUGCACUGGGCUUUCAAAACUUCAGCUGUUAAAUCAAGGCACAAGAUCUUUGCCUUUAGGUCUCCAGUAUAUACUUCUUCUUCUGUCCCCCUCCCCCGGUACCUCAUGUUUCAUCUUGAUGCCCUGAAACUGUGCGUGAGGCCGAGUAACAUUUUCUCUGAAGUGCCAAUGACACAGCCCACGACUCCACAAAUUAUACCGUACAUGUUCUGAGCCGAAGGACUCUCUUCAGACUGCCACUGGGAGUUUACAUUCAAUAUGCAGCUUCAGAUUCCCAUGACCGUCCCUGAGCCUUUGGGAUUCAGGCCCUUUUCGGUGCAUGAGAAGAUAUGUGAAACAGUGCUUGAAAAUAUAUGCACACUAACAUGAACGGAGCAACAGAAACAUGCAGUUGAUGUCAGACGAAAUGGAUCAUCCUCAAGAUUGUAGUUAAUUUGAGUUUGAAGUUGACGUCUUUGGUGGUCCUCGCAGGCCUCUAAAACACGUUGAGGGAAAAAAAAAAAAAAGUAAAAUCCUAUCCGUCUUCACAGACUUACAUGUUGCAUGCAUCCUUUGGUUU